rnacentral:rRNA from 1 species
GACGAACGCUGGCGGCGUGCUUAACACAUGCAAGUCGAACGGACAGGCCCUGCUUUUGUGGGGUGCUCGAGUGGCGAACGGGUGAGUAACACGUGAGUAUCCUGCCCUUGACUUUCGGAUAACUCCUGGAAACUGGGGCUCAUACCGCAUAGGAGCUCCUGCUGCAUGGUGGGGGUUGGAAAGUUUCGGCGGUUGGGGAUGGACUCGCGGCUUCUCCGCUUGUUGGUGGGGUAGUGGCUUACCAAGGCUUUGACGGGUAGCCGGCCUGAGAGGGUGACCGGCCACAUUGGGACUGAGAGACGGCCCAGACUCCUACGGGAGGCAGCAGUGGGGAAUAUUGCACAAUGGGCGGAAGCCUGAUGCAGCAACGCCGCGUGCGGGAUGACGGCCUUCGGGUUGUAAACCGCUUUCGCCUGUGACGAAGCGUGAGUGACGGUAAUGGGUAAAGAAGCACCGGCUAACUACGUG